rnacentral:tRNA from 1 species
GAAUAUGAAGCGAUAUAUUGCAAUUAGUUUCGACCUAAUCUUAGGAGACACCUCUCCCUUAUUCU